GCAUCUGCGGCGCUGGAGCCGUAGGAACCGUUCCGAGCCCCCUGGAACAGUCGCGGCAGGACUCUCAAGGAACCUUUACCUGUAACCUGCUUGCUUAGAACGAUUGAAGUAGCUGCGAUCUUGGUUGAAGAAAAGGACGUUCGGUCUAGAGCCGAGGGCCCGCUCUUCAGAACUCCUCUGGACGCACCGUCCUAGCCUCCCGCAAGGCAAGAUGCGGCAGCUCAAAGGGAAGCCCAAGAAGGAGACGUCCAAGGACAAGAAGGAGCGGAAGCAGGCCAUGCAGGAGGCCCGGCAGCAGAUCACCACGGUGGUGCUGCCCACGCUGGCCGUGGUCGUGCUGCUGAUCGUGGUGUUUGUGUACGUGGCCACGCGCCCCCCCACCACCGAGUGAGCCCCCGGGACUCGCCUGCAAGGAGAGGCGGCGAGGGCCGGGGGAAGCAAGCGCAAGCAAAUGGCUCUCGUAUUCAGGGGUUUCCAAGAUGCCGAGCUCCCAGCAGGAGCUCCCUGUCUUCUCUGGUCUUUGACUUGAUUAAAGUUUCUCCACUUUUCUUGGGAGGGAAUAGGGAACGUUUUAUCAGUGAACGUGCCAUACACCUUAGGGUCCACUCCAUGUGCCUUUCCGGGUUCAGAGCAGUGUGGGGGUGUCUUCUUCUCACGGGAAAUCGGUCUGUAGCCCCGUCCUGGCGAGCGGAGGCGUCUCGGGGUCACGAGUCAGUUGGAAUCCAUGCUCCCCCAUCCCCGUUGUUUUGAACAUGACCCUUUCCUACACGUGUUCACGAAUUCCAAAGGGACUGUAUUUCUCCUCUGUGCUUCAUGUGAUUUGAAAUAUGUCGACUUCAAAAGUGAAAUAUUUAUUUUUGGAAUAAAGGAGAUAAUCGCCUUA